GGGCGUAGACGGUGUGGCAAGUCUGAUGUGAAAGGCAUGGGCUCAACCUGUGGACUGCAUUGGAAACUGUCAUACUUGAGUGCCGGAGGGGUAAGCGGAAUUCCUAGUGUAGCGGUGAAAUGCGUAGAUAUUAGGAGGAACACCAGUGGCGAAGGCGACUUUCUGGACUGUAACUGACACUGAGGCUCGAAAGCCAGGGUAGUGAACG
rnacentral:rRNA from 1 species